CUUUGUAGAUCUGUUCAACAGAACUCGCAUGAUGUUGGAAUUCAUGGAGAAUUCAUUUCCAUUAGUCAAGAACAAGUCAGUGAUGAUUUUCAUUGUUUGUGAGGUGGACGUGUGGAGUAAAGAUGUAGGUCCCUAAAACCUCUGUUCUGGGUACAGGAGAGACCUGUUGAAGAGCUCUGCUGGACCCAAGCCCUGACCCCACUGGCCUUCACAGAGCAUUGUGUGAAACUCAGCUGUAAUUAAGGAAUCUGUUAAGAAAUCCUGCACUUUAACAAUUAAGCAUUUCUUCACUUCGAGAACGCUAUUCCCAGUUAUAUUUAGUAUCAUACACCCCUAAUUAGGAUUUGCAAAACAAAGAGAAUAUAGCAUGUAUAACAAGACAUUUAGAAGGGUUCAUGAAGUCUCAUGUGUUUUGUCUAAAAGAACUCGUAGUGGGGAUCAGUCUCAGACCACUGAACACAAUAGGAACUUUGCCAUAUAUUUUUGCACUGGAUAAAAUUCUUAAUGUCUAACGUGUAACCUUAAUGUAAAUUAAAACUACUGUUAGGAAUAAAAUACAUAUAUUUAUAGUGUAUCU
rnacentral:lncRNA from 7 species